rnacentral:rRNA from 1 species
GAUCAUGGCUCAGAUGAACGCUGGCGGAAUGCUUUACACAUGCAAGUCGAACGGUAGAGGGGGCAACCCUUGAGAGUGGCGAACGGGUGAGUAAUAUAUCGGAACGUGCCCAGUCGUGGGGGAUAACGUAGCGAAAGCUACGCUAAUACCGCAUACGAUCUACGGAUGAAAGCGGGGGAUCGCAAGACCUCGCGCGAUUGGAGCGGCCGAUAUCAGAUUAGGUAGUUGGUGAGGUAAAGGCUCACCAAGCCGACGAUCUGUAGCUGGUCUGAGAGGACGACCAGCCACACUGGGACUGAGACACGGCCUAGACUCCUACGGGAGGCAGCAGUGGGGAAUAUUGGACAAUGGGCGAAAGCCUGAUCCAGCAAUGCCGCGUGAGUGAUGAAGGCCUUAGGGUUGUAAAGCUCUUUUACCAGGGAUGAUAAUGACAGUACCUGGAGAAUAAGCUCCGGCUAACUCCGUG